ACAUAAGAAGGUAAGAAGGCUGCAGCUUCCACCGGGCCUCUUGGGCUGUGUACUCUUGACACUCUUGCUCUGAGAACUAAGCAGGCAUAUUUCAUAUCAAAAUAGUAAAGAACUUCCUUUCCAAAGGCAGGACUUGCUUCUGUGAGGUACUGAGCCACCCGUCCCUGGAGGAAAGCAAGAACAGAGCAGAUCAGAGCCCAGGCAGACAUCUUGGAUGAUGGGGUACAUCUUGCCAUCCAGAGGCAAUGCUGGAGCGGGCAGUUGUCUGCGGGGAGGCCCUGGCUCACUCUGGGCCAAAUAACAGGACUGAUUGCAGCCUGCGAUGAAACAUCCUGUUUCUCCCAACCAGAAACAGGUAGAGGAGCUGCUUUAGGAUGGAAGAUGAGGCUUGCUUUUUCUUUCUCCUAGAAGUCAGCAUUUUACAUGAUUCUGGGAGGGAAGAAAGGAGACAGGAACCAAGGAGCCUGAGUGGGGAUUUGCCCACCACUGGGCAGCCAGGCUCCCGUCAGGAAGGCUUUUCAGAGGGAGUGUUGGAAGGAGUCGUCGAGGAGUCUUCCUCACCCAGGAAGUCUUCCUCACCGGGUGAGCCCCAACCUGCUGGACCUGCUCAGAAUUUGCCCAACAGGGGAUCCUGGUUGACUGAGGUCUGCUAAUUCCAACUGGCCUACGCUAAAUUCUCCCAGAAUGUCUUCAUCAUCAAUGAAUCGCUUUCCACUGACACGACGCCUGGAAGAACAUAAACACUGAAUGCGUCUUGGAGGGGUUGCAGUCAUCUUUUUGGGAUCUGAACAUUCAUUCACAGCUGUCAGCUUAUGUCCUUGUAUCUGACGGCACUGACCUAGGUGCAUGGCUGCCAGAAGUAACUUCCUGCUUGUCACAAAAAUGCAAUCUCCUGCCUGCCCCUGAUUCUCCCCAGCCCUGGCUUUGGAUAAAGACAAUUAAUAUGAACG
ensembl:lncRNA LINC02369 long intergenic non-protein coding RNA 2369